GGGGUAAUCCUAAAAGAGCUCGCGGCUGAUUAGCUUGUUGGUAAGGUAAUGGCUUACCAAGGCGACGAUCAGUAUCUGGUUUGAGAGGACGAUCAGACACACUGGAACUGAGACACGGUCCAGACUCCUACGGGAGGCAGCAGUGGGGAAUUUUCCGCAAUGGGCGAAAGCCUGACGGAGCAAUACCGCGUGAGGGAAGACUGCCUAUGGGUUGUAAACCUCUUUUUUCAGGGAGGAAGUAAUUGACGUGUACCUGAAGAAUAAGCAUCGGCUAACUCCGUGCCACCAGCCGCGGUAAGACGGAGGAUGCUACUGUUAUCCGGAAUCACUGGGGGAAGCGCGGAG
rnacentral:rRNA from 1 species